rnacentral:rRNA from 1 species
GAUGAAUGCUGGCGGCGUGCCUAACACAUGCAAGUCGAGCGGCAGCGCGGAGAGUUUACUCUCUGGCGGCGAGCGGCGGACGGCUGAGUAACGCGUGGGAACGUGCCCCAAAGUGAGGAAUAACUGCCCGAAAGGGUGGCUAAUGCCGCAUAUGAUCUUCGGAUUAAAGGAUUUAUCCGCUUUGGGAGCGGCCCGCGUCGGAUUAGGUUGUUGGUGAGGUAAGGGCUCACCAAGCCGACGAUCCGUAGCUGGUCUGAGAGGAUGAUCAGCCAGACUGGGACUGAGACACGGCCCAGACUCCUACGGGAGGCAGCAGUGAGGAAUCUUCCACAAUGGGCGAAAGCCUGAUGGAGCAACGCCGCGUGCAGGAUGAAGGCCUUCGGGUUGUAAACUGCUUUUAUAAGUGAAGAAUAUGACGGUAACUUAUGAAUAAGCACCGGCUAACUACGUGCCAGCAGCCGCCGCGU